ACGGGCGAAUCGUCCAGCUGCCAGUGGUGGCUCUGCUGAACGCCUGAUUAAGGUGGCCGUCACUGGGCACGAGGAAAGCAGGUACUCAAAGACGGGCAGCAGUGAGAUAUCUGCAGGCUUUUGGUGGAAAAACACAUGGUUUGAUUAUCCUUAUUGAUACACACACCCACGCCCAUUAAACGUAAAAAUAGCACACGCAUCUCUGUUUACACGUCACCCUCUUGUACUGUACGUCGAGCGUCCCUCUAUCAGUUCUAUCUGUCUGCAAAGGAGAAGAAUGCAGCCGUCAUUCCUAAACACACAUUCCUCUUCACCUCUUAAAACAUCAGUUUUUGAUAAAUAUAGGCAGAGCUUUUAUUUAAAAUCUGCGAAACAGCAUGUUUUCAAAAGCGAAAGAGGACCGAUUACAGACAGCUGUGGCACUCCAAAUGUGCCUCUCCACCCCACGGAUAGGACAGCAGUUAGUGAGGGACUUCCUGCAUGGAAAGCUGUGUAUGUUUUCCUUCAGUGAAUCGAACAUCCUGCAGAUCUUAAAUUCCAGUCAGCAGUAAACUCCCUGACCUCUGAGCACAAAAUUAGGCACAUCAUACAAGCAAAAGACAAGACGGAAAGGAAGGACUGCAAAACAGAACAGAAAUAUAGAGAUAAAAGGAAGAUAGAGAUGUGAGAGUGAGGGAUAAUUCAACCUUACACAUCUUUUGAGUUGCAUUUUUUCAAAUGAUUCAUUUUAUGAAACGGAAACUAGUAUACGUGAUUAAUUAUAUGAGCUAUUAUAUAUAUAUAUAUAUAUAUAUAUAUAUAUAUAUAUAUAUAUAUAUAUAUAUAUAUAUAUAUACAGCAUUAUAUUUUUAGCUUGUCAGUUUCUAAAGUAUACAAAUGAUUUCUUUCAAUUUAUUCCUCACCUGACCAUAUAUUAUUUAGUCAAAUUACAAAAUGUUUUUUUUUUUUUAUUUAUGAUGUUGAAUGUUUAAAUAAAUCCAGUUCCUUUAUUUUACAACACGGAACACAUAUUUUUGGUUCUGUGACGACAAACAUUUUUCGCACUAUAGCUAAUCACAGGAUAAUGUGUGACAAUGAACAAAGCAACCCAUAUAAAUAGAUCUAGUCAUCGUAUUGUAAUGCUCAUGAACAUCCAGGCUCUUUUUACAUAUAUGUGAGAUCCAUUUGUUUAUUAUGAGGCAUAAAUGCAAUAAAAGGAAUGAUCUUGUGUUAUUGUAUUAUACCAUUCUAUGUCUGAUAACACAGUGAUGUAAACAGCCAUGAAAGUGUCAGAUUUCAUCUUCUAUUACAUGGACAGGGUUGUCAGUUACAACAUAUGCGGUGAACCCUAUCUGCCAAUGUGUUUAUUGAGCUAUUAUCAAUUGACUGAUGAAACAAACUACUCACCAGUCAACAUAUGUUACUUAUUUGCUGGAUUUAUUUGAUUUUAAACCAUGUGUUUUCCGUUUUGAAAUGAUUAUGGAGGUUUGCGACAGAGCAUUCUCUGCAAAUCACAAACAUUAGAGUUUUGGUGCAACAAUAUGAUUUUACAAUUGUAUACUUUGAGUGGAUUUUCCUGGGGGUGACGAGAUAUUUCUUUUUUUAUAAAAUACAUUUUCCUACAACUAACACGGGAAUAAAAUAUAUGCCUUCUGUGUCCGUACACCACAGCCAUAUAGCCAUAUAUAGCCAUUUACUGGCUAUAUGUUAAGUGUUUUGACCUUCUUCCUCUUCUCAUGAAAUACUCCCAUAUAGCCAGUCAUAUCAGAAAAAAAGCUUAAAGGUAAGUGGUCAUCAUUACCUUGUAGAGCUGGUUCUACCUUACGUUUACAGGUGCACAGCAAUUGAUAAAUCCAGAAAUGCCAUACUGUAAUAUAAUGUAUAAUGUAUUCCUCUAUGUAUGUUUUAAUGUACAAAAUGUAGAAUGUUUAUGUUCUGACCAGUGUUGACAUUUGACAUAUCUGAAUGCCUCUAAAUAAAGUAUUUUGGAAUAAGUGCAUAUUAACAUUUUUUCUUUUGUUUCUUAUUUCCUGUGGUUCCCUUUGUCUGAAAUCAUAUGCUUUAUCUGGAGUAUUAUUGUGUACAGCUCUCAAAGGACAGAGUUGUUUCCCAGAGCAGAUCACAUGAUCCUAUCAUGUGCAGAGAGGUUGUUCUCCGAUUGGUCGGUUACUCCACUUUGCCACAUUUGCACAUCACUUUUUUUGGUUUGUUUUACAGACUGGGGGCUGGAAGGUAAAGUUAUAUAUAGCGUUAAUUUUUAUAUGUGGUUAUAAUUGUGCACCCUCCCAAUCAUUUCCCUUAUUUUUGUUGGUAAUGACGCUUGCCCUGCUUCGGUGAACUGGAGGAGAGGCCAAGGAAAUCCCAGUGCCUAAUCACUCGAACAAUGUGAGCGAAUGUGUAGCUUUCUGAACAAUGCGACACCACAUGAUGCGGUGGGUGGAAAAGAAAUCUCAAAGCCCAAGCUCACUCUCCCUCCGUCAUAUUCUUUCUCGACUUUUCAGCUCUCCUUCACGUACCAUGUCUGUCAGCAACGUCUUUACAGGCUUUUAGGUGGUGUCGCUGAUAAUCAAGAAACAGUAAACACCACAGACAGUCGGCUAUGGUGCGACCUUGGAACACGUCCCAUGCAAUGACCAUUAUAAAUGCUGCGUCUUUCAUCUCUUUCGCUUUAGACGACGGGCUGCGGGAAUGCAGCUGUGUGGCGGGUGCCACCAGACUGUUCAUGUCUUGCCUCGUGUGUAUGUGCGUGUCUGUGUGUGCGAGCGAGCGAUCCCUUGGGGCUCUCUCCCUCAGCCCUGGCUCCCUGAUUCGGCAGAAUGCCAGCGUUUGCUGCUUCCCACCUCCUUCCCGGAGACUCCCGGCCAUAAUAGACGGUAAUGGCCUAAGACAAAUCAACCCGUUUCUUGUAAAAAUAGCAGCAAAUAACCCCUGACUUUGCCUCACGAGCGUAAACCAGGGAGAAGCUCGAUUCUGACAGCCACAUUCACAGCGGGCAUUAACCCCAGGAGAAAGCUCGUGCUCCACUUGAACAAAGCCAUAAGUCUUGAAUACUUACAUCCCCCACUCACAGCUCAGAAUAGAUUGGUAAUGACCGACUGUCUGGCUGUGCAGGUUAUAUGCGCUUCGCCUCGGCCAAUCACAGUGCCCUUACUCCAUGUUUACAACAACAUCCUACCAGGCAACAGUUUCUGUGUAUUAGUUGAACAUAUGGAUAUCAUAUUUAAGCACCACAGUGAGAACCCUAACAAAUGUAGCCUAUAAACACUCACCCCUGACUGUUUUUGCUAGCUCGGGGCCUGCCGUUGUGAUGUUUCAGGCCUGGGCAGAAGAUGAGAGAGUGUGUGGAGCUCUGGCCAGGACCCUCUAUGUGGUCUCUAAAGGGCCUGGAACACAUAACAUGCACACACACACACACACACACACACACACACACACACAAUGAAAAAAGUGUGCUUUCAGAACUGAUGGGCAUUCUCAGUCAAGUGGUGUAAUAAAAUGUUCUGUUAAAAAAUCGGAAUGCAGUACUUUGAAUGAAAAGUAGGGAAUUGUCUUGAAUGGUCAAUUCAGGUUAUGAAGUCCACUUGAGCAUGAUUGGCAAAAUGUAAAUCAAAAUUUAAAAAUCAAGUAAAUCAUAUUUACAUGACCCACCUGGGUUUGAAUGUUUUGUAAUGAAUAUGCAUUGCUUUUUAGUAUUACAAAAUUGUAAACUUCUUUCCUCUUCUAAAAGGUCCUCUUCUUUGCAAGGUGUUAAAAUUUUGAUAUAAAUAAAUUCUGUGAUGCCAUUUAUGUUUUUGUCUUAUACUCUUUUUUCAUUCUAUGGCAUAAUAGUUUAAAAUGUAAACAAUAAACAUUUACAUG